rnacentral:rRNA from 1 species
GGGGAAUAUUGGACAAUGGGCGAAAGCCUGAUCCAGCAACGCCGCGUGAGGGAUGACGGCCUUCGGGUUGUAAACCUCUUUCAGCAGGGACGAAGCGAGAGUGACGGUACCUGCAGAAGAAGGACCGGCCAACUACGUGCCAGCAGCCGCGGUAAUACGUAGGGUCCGAGCGUUGUCCGGAAUUAUUGGGCGUAAAGGGCUCGUAGGCGGUUUGUCGCGUCGGGAGUGAAAACUCAGGGCUCAACCCUGAGCGUGCUUCCGAUACGGGCAGACUAGAGGUAUGCAGGGGAGAACGGAAUUCCUGGUGUAGCGGUGGAAUGCGCAGAUAUCAGGAGGAACACCGGUGGCGAAGGCGGUUCUCUGGGCAUUACCUGACGCUGAGGAGCGAAAGCAUGGGGAGCGAAC